ensembl:lncRNA
UUUUAUUCUUAUUAAUAUCGAUAGUACACUCAUCAGAUCAUCAUCUUUGGAGUUUGCUCUGAUAGUUUGAUCUCUGAACUGAAAAUUGUAUUUUGCAAAUAACUUAAUGGAACAGCAGAUAAAAAAAAUAAAAUAAAAAAAAACUUAGUACCCUUACUACCUCAGUAUUCAUAGUUUUGUACUACGUAACAUUAACAAACAUAGAUUUAUGUUAAAAAAAAAUAUUAUAAAAUGCAUUAAGUAAUGUAAACAAAUAAAGUCUCAUCAUAAAAAUAUUAGCCCUGUCUUGUGGAGUUUGUAAAAUAUCGUAUAAUCAGAUUUUUUUUUUUUCUAUCAGUCUGGGUCCAGAUGAAAUGGAGCUUCUGCUUCAUAUCAUGUAUGGUGCCAUUCUAGACUUCCCACCAGGAACCAAUGUCAGGUAAAGACCCUCUGUAGUGACAUUUCCUCUUUACCAAUGUUCUAAAUGCAAAAUGCAAUGCUGUUAUUUAGCAGAAAUGUCAAGAUGUGUGUGUUUGCCUUUGAUUUCAGUAAGGUUGUGUUAGCAGCAGAUAUGUUAGGCCUGGAGGGGCUGAAAGACAUGUGCGAGAUGGUCCUGACUCGGGACUAUUGCCACUUUUUCCUCAAGACGGUGCAGAGUGUAGCAUCUGGAGCGAGCAGCUGAUUGGCAGCCUGCCGGAGGUAAAAUGGGCCAAGCAGGUGCUGAGUCUGGCUAGUGAACUGCAAGAAGAGUGUCUGCAGAUGAUUGUUACACACCUGCCCCAGGUCACACACACCGCUGCCUUCCACGAUCUCCAAAGGAGAGAGGAGUUCACACAUGACCCUGCACUACUGAGGAAGGUGUGCAUAGCCGUGCGGAAGUGUGUCACUGUGGACAACUGCUGUGACCUCUUUACUGCUGUGAACCGACUGAGUGGUGACCCGACUGAGGUAGACUUUAUCACAGAAGAUCAAGCCAAUCAGGUGGAAGUGAAGGUAAACUAAGAAACAGAACACUACAAGCCGGCAUUUAAUUACAACCCAGAUCAUUUAGUGAAUGAAUCAUUUAUUUUUAUUGAUCCAAACAAGACGGCGUCCUAUAUCCACACAAAACAACGGAAAGGGCUAAUUCUUUUGAAAGAAAAGCAUUUUAGGUUUCCGCAAAUAUUUAUCAAAUUAUUAUUUUGAAUAUAAUUAUUUAUUUUACAGAAACAGUGUUUAAAAGAAACCCUAUUUUAUUGCAAAAAUAUCAGUUGUUUUCACGUUGCACUCAUAGUUUGGAUUUUAAAACAUCACAUCUAGUCAGACGGUCAUAUGUGGUCUAGCAACAAAAGUUUAAAUAUUUGAAUGCACACAAACCUCUGGUCCGAAAAUUCUGAAUACGCAUAUGGUCAGAACUUCACACAGCUCCCAUACUACUCUCCAUCAGAAGUGAAUGACUUCCAGUUCGCUGUUUGUCAGAAAUUAGGCACGAAAUGCAAUGGAAUACCUCUUAUUAUGUAUACCUCUUAUGCAGUGGAAUAAAACUCUUUAAUCCGUAACUAUACCUGUAUGCCGUAUUUUAUUAUAUGGUUACACAGAUUUUAUUCAAACAUUGUUUUAUUAAGCAAUCCGGAUCAGAACUGCCUGUUCUAUUUUAGUCAGUAUAAAGCAGAUCUGAUGAAUACAUCAUUAAAAUCUUUUGUAUUGAUUUGCAUACUGAAAGACGGUUACUUCCAUAUUAACAGUACAUGUACAUACAUUUACAUAAUGUUUUUACUUUUGUAAUCUGACUUACCUACAACUGAAAUAGGAUAUUCAAAGAAUGGACAUACAGAAUAGUGGUUGGGGGUUGGAGUAAAAGUUGAUGUAAAACUAAGUGGGAUUUGAAAAGAACAGCCAUUUCAGAUUUAAAGUCAUUACUUUUUCAUAAAGAAUUUAAAACAUUUUUAUGUAUUUUUUAAUUUGGAAUAACAUGCACUACAUUAUUAUUUCAUGUUGAUUUUAAUCUGUUUAAGGGUUAGUUCAUCGAAAGUUAGUUUUUCGAUGAACUAACCCUUUAACUGCAUCUUUGGUGUAGUUAUUAAAAUACUGGAAUAGAUUUUCUGUGCUUCAUCAAUGAGAAUGAGAACAUUCUCUCUAUUUAAAGGGGUCAUAUGAUGUUGCUAAAAAGAUCAUUAUUCUUUUAUAUUUGAUUUAAAUCCUUUAAAUAUGAAACAUACUUACAAGUUGUGAGUCAGAACAGCCAGCAUUGUAGGUUCAGGAAACAGUCCUCUGUUAAAUGCGUUCCAAACACAAACAAAUAUUUAAGUUAAAUUGUUCUGGAACAGUGUUGUAAAUACAACAUAACCACCGAUUUCUAGUUGUGUCUUCUUUUGGAAGACCAAACAAAAUAGUUUUGCUUUCACAACGAAACACACAGCGUCUCCACCACAUGGCGGCGAUGGAAAUAAUACUACAGCGAGAAUAAAAGUUACGCCUUCUUUCUUUGCGUAAACAUUUGGGCGGUGUUAUGCAAAUCUUCCCACACAGUGAUGUAGACAUGUUGGGGCGUGUUUAAAUGAGGUGUUUUAGGAGGGCGUGGAAGAGUCUUAACUUUUAUAAAGAAUAUCUCUUUAGGUUUAAGACUUUAGUCUUUGCAACUUUAUGGAUCUUAUCUAUGUAUAAACAGCUUGUAACACUGCAAAGAGAAAGGAAAACGUGAAAUUGCAUCAUAUGACUCCUUUAAUGGCGUGUGUAUAAGGCACUUCAUUUGAUCCUUAAACUCGCCUAUAUUGUACGUGGCCAUGCUGGAUUAAAGUAAUGUGACACUACAAAUAGAAAAGGUUAUGGUUAAAACCUCCACCUCUCGUGGCUUGGUCUCAUUCUGUCAUUUUCUGUUUUUCUUGAUUUCUCUCUGCCCAUCUCUGUCACUUCCUGUCUUUUUGUGAGUUAAUUCACAUCCCAGGGGAAAUGGCAGAAUGGAUUAAUCUGAGAACGACCAAGAGUCUGGGUGUGGCCAUGUCUAAUCUGGCUCUUUGUCCAUUAUAGAGGAAAGCGGGGAGGGACAGGGGGAGAAAUGGUCUGUGGAUGGAAAGUAGAAUAAAGAUGGUUAUUUUUUAAUGAACAUUCGGUGCAGAUGGCGGGAACAGAGACGUCUGCUAGUGACAUUAUCCAUUUAGCUGGAGAGGAUCCUGUUAAGGAUAGAGGGAGGCAAUGGCGAUCGGUCGCCAAGACAACCAGCCUUUGAAGCAGCUGCCGAUUCGCUCCUGUUCUCCUGCUGUUGUAUCCUCCCUCCUUCUCUCUCUCUUUUUCUCUGACUGACUUGCUCACCCUCUCUCAC